rnacentral:rRNA from 1 species
CCUACGGGCGGCAGCAGUGAGGAAUAUUGGUCAAUGGCCGGAAGGCUGAACCAGCCAUGCCGCGUGAAGGUCAGUGCCCUAUGGGCGUUAAACUUCUUUUGUGCGGGAGCAAUAAUGGUCACGUGUGGCCAGACGAGAGUACCGUACGAAUAAGCAUCGGCUAACUCCGUGCCAGCAGCCGCGGUAAUACGGGGGAUGCAAGCGUUAUCCGGAUUUAUUGGGUUUAAAGGGUGCGUAGGCUGUGAGGUAAGUCAGCGGUGAAAUGCCCCCGCUCAACGGGGUGAAGUGCCAUUGAUACUGCCUGGCUGGAAUGCGGAUGCAAUGGGAGGAAUGUGUGGUGUAGCGGUGAAAUGCAUAGAUAUCACACAGAACACCGAUUGCGAAGGCAUCUCACGAAUCCGCGAUUGACGCUGAUGCACGAAAGCGUGGGUAUCAAACAGGAUUAGAUACCCGAGUAGUC